rnacentral:rRNA from 1 species
UGUAGCCCAGGGAGUAAGGGCCAUGAUGACUUGACGUCGUCCCCACCUUCCUCUCGGUUUGCACAGGCAGUCUGUUUAGAGUCCCCAACAUUACGUGCUGGCAACUAAACAUAGGGGUCAGUACGGCAAGCAAUGGGCGAAAGCCUGACUCAGCAACGCCGCGUGAGUGAUGAAGGUUUUCGGAUCGUAAAGCUCUGUCAGAGGGGAAGAAACUCCCGGGUGUAAAUAACACUUGGGCCUGACGGUACCCUCAAAGGAAGCACCGGCUAACUCCGUGCCAGCAGCCGCGGUAAUACGGAGGGUGCAAGCGUUGUUCGGAAUUAUUGGGCGUAAAGCGCGUGUAGGCGGUUGUUUAAGUCUGAUGUGAAAGCCCUGGGCUCAACCCGGGAAGUGCAUUGGAAACUGGGCAACUUGAGUACGGGAGAGGGUAGUGGAAUUCCGAGUGUAGGGGUGAAAUCCGUAGAUAUUCGGAGGAACACCGGUGGCGAAGGCGGCUACCUGGACCGAUACUGACGCUGAGACGCGAAAGCGUGGGGAGCAAACAGGAUUAGAUACCCUGGUAGUCCACGCCGUAAACGAUGGGCACUAGGUGUGCGGGUAUUGACCCUGCAGUGCGAAGCUAACGCAUUAAUGCCCGCCUGGGGAGUACGGCGCAGUUAAACUCAAGGAAUGACGGGGCCGCCAACGGGGAAUUGGUUAAUUCACCCAGGCAAAACUUCCGGGUGAAUCCACGCCUUUUAUG